rnacentral:misc_RNA from 1 species
AAUUCUCAAAUCUUACAUCUGACUGAAAAGUUUUCAUGUUUGAUUUGGAUUGUGGGAGUUGCUGGCUCUCCUAGAGUCUGCUCUUCUUAAACACAUUAGUGAAGGGUAUUUCUUUGCUCUUUGUUAGUAUAAUAAUUGUUUGUACUAUCGAAAGAUCGAAGUCUCGAUUUCGAGGAAUGUGACCUUACACUUCUAAUAGUUGUUCUAGCCAGGACAAGUUUGAUGA